AGGGUCGCCCCUAGAGCGGAGCCAAUAGGAGCACUGGGCGGGGCCUUGCGGCCGGAGUAGCCAGCGGCGGCGGCGGGCGGAGCGCAGCGGCGUGAUGGACCCGCCAGCUCGUCCUUCCGUGUCCCGCCCACGGGCUCGAGCGCGCCCGCCGCCGCCGGAGGCGCUUCCCACUGCGGGCUUCGACGACGAGCUGUACGACAGCCUGGACUACUACUACCUGCGUGACUUCCCGGCCUCCGGAGCUGGCCGCAGCAAAGGCCGGACGCGGCGCGAGCAGCAACUGCGCACCCACCACCCGGUGCCCGGCGGCCACGAGCGCAAGGUGGCACAGAUCCUGAUCAACGCGCAGCGCAAGCGGCGCCAACGUCAACUGCAGCCGCGGCCGCGCACGCGCCUGCCCUGAGAGGGAAACCCGAAAGACCUCUUUAAAGUAUUUUCGACCGCCCCCGAGUUCCUCCAUGUUGGUCAGCAGGCCUUUUUGGCAGUUUUUAAGCUUACUGCUUCAAUCUUUCCUUCCUCAUUAAUUAAUUACUAAAAAGGAAACCAGAGCAAAUGCUGGCAAGUAACAUGCAGAGAUCAUGCAGAAGUAAAGCAGUGACCUGGUCCUGGUAACUGUGCUCCUGGUGGCAGCUGUGGUCAAACUUGGUCCUCAGUGGAGAUGGGAGAGGCGCGGGAGAAGGAGGCUUACCUUUAUGCUGGACAGGCUCCCGCCCUGUAUAGGUUGGCCGUCGCCAGCUGCAGCUUUCCACAGCGUUGGUCCACUCUUCUAGUUGAGCGCCACAAAAUACAACAAAAACAACAGCAGAGAACGCUAACAUAUACACUAACAUGAGAAGCAGCUGCCUAGGCUGAGAAACGGAUUCAUUCCGAGUGGAGGUCGGUGCAGUCUUGGAGAGGACAUGGUCCCAAGAUUGAAUGGUCAGAGAAGAGUCACUAUGUGUAACAUGCUGGGAGUUCACCCUGUGGAAUUUAUCACAAGUCUGCCCCCCAAAGAUGCUAUAUUAAAUAGCGUAGAUUU